AUUGAACGCUGGCGGCAUGCCUUACACAUGCAAGUCGAACGGCAGCACGUCCCCUCGGGGAUGGUGGCGAGUGGCGAACGGGUGAGUAAUACAUCGGAACGUACCCAGGAGUGGGGGAUAACGUAGCGAAAGUUACGCUAAUACCGCAUAUUCUGUGAGCAGGAAAGCGGGGGAUCGCAAGACCUCGCGCUCUUGGAGCGGCCGAUGUCGGAUGAGCUAGUUGGUGAGGUAAGAGCUCACCAAGGCGACGAUCCGUAGCAGGUCUGAGAGGAUGAUCUGCCACCCUUGGACUGAGACACGGCCCAGACUCCUACGGGAGGCAGCAGUGGGGAAUUUUGGACAAUGGGGGCAACCCUGAUCCAGCCAUGCCGCGUGAGUGAAGAAGGCCUUCGGGUUGUAAAGCUCUUUCGGCGGGGAAGAAAUGGCAACGGCUAAUAUCCGUUGUUGAUGACGGUACCCGCAUAAGAAGCACCGGCUAACUACGUGCCAGCAGCCGCCGUAAGAC
rnacentral:rRNA from 1 species